ACUUUUGUAUUCCCAAGUAUGGACUCCUCGGAACAAUUGUAAAAAAUUGCACUUAAAUAAGAAAAAAAGAAAAGAAAAAUACAAUGACGAUUAAACUGAAGUAUUUAAAAAAUCGUAAGUGAAGUAACGUAGAUUAUUCUAAAUCUAAUACCGAGGUUGAUUCUAAUUCGCGUUAGUGAACGCAACUGGAGGUACCAAAUUAGACGGCUGAAAUUUCGCGGUUAAUACGAAAAUAUACGAAGAAGAACCGAAGUUGACCGAACGUUGACGCGAGCCGACCGUGUGAUAGCGCAUGCGCGCCACCGUUCGUAAAUAUUCAGUCGUGCUCUUAGGGAGUUCGCGAGCACAACGGAGGGAUUACUAGGAGUGGGGGUAAACAGCGGCGCGGUAGAUUUUCGCGCAUGUUCCCCACUCAUACAGAUGCCGGUCGCGGCGCUGAGAGCACGUAUAGGGAGAGUGACACUAUGCCGCGCUGUUAAAAAGGGGGUUGGUCAAACUGAUGCUCGAUGGCGCUUAGUGACAAGUUACCAGUUUUUUAGCAACAAAGGCGUCUCUCUCUUUCUCUCUCAACCAACAACAUUUGACAAUCUAUUUUUGGUACUUUAAUCUAUAACUCAGGCUACUAUCGAACCGGCCUUACUACGGAAAUCACGGAGAAGGAGAUGUAAAAGAGAGAGAAAGAAAUACUCGUGCCGGCCGCCAUCAUUAUUAAUAGUUACUCACUGGAAAUCUCUCCAUCUCUUUCUCUUUUACUUUCUCAUUCUCUUCUCAUUCAUAUUCAAUUUUUCGUUAUCCUUUCGAUCCAUCCUAUCUGUGUAAUGCAUUUUAAUUAAUUUAUGCAGUUUACUUUAUAUAGUCAUGGUAUUUAUAUGUCACAUAUUGCCGACACGUUUGUAUGGGUAAGAAAAAAACUAA